rnacentral:rRNA from 1 species
GCCAGCCCGCUCAGAACUUAAGGAAUUGACGGGGCCCGCACAAGCGGUGGAGUAUGUGGUUUAAUUCGAUGCAACGCGAAGAACCUUACCUGGUCUUGACAUCCCGGAGACCCUUAGGAAACUAGGGGGUGCUUCCAUCUGGAAGAAUCUGGAGACAGGUGCUGCAUGGCUGUCGUCAGCUCGUGUCGUGAGAUGUUGGGUUAAGUCCCGCAACGAGCGCAACCCUUGCCUUUAGUUGCCAGCAGUUCGGCUGGGCACUCUAAAGGGACUGCCGGUGUUAAACCGGAGGAAGGUGGGGAUGACGUCAAGUCCUCAUGGCCUUUAUGACCAGGGCCACACACGUACUACAAUGGCCGAUACAAAGGGCAGCGACACUGCGAGGUGAAGCCAAUCCCGUAAAAUCGGUCUCAGUCCGGAUUGGAGUCUGCAACUCGACUCCAUGAAGUUGGAAUCGCUAGUAAUCGUGGAUCAGCAUGCCACGGUGAAUACGUUCCCGGGCCUU